AGCACAUCACACAUUAUUAUUUAGAACAACCAAUCAAGUGUUCACAAUUGUCAUGUUGAUUUAGAGACCAAAGCUCGUGGAAGAACCUUCAGAAGACCCUUGAAGAGCAUCUAAAGGAUGUAAAUCUCUACUCUCUAUAAAUUAAGACCCCUGUCCAGUGUGUGGAUAACCCUAAAGGAUUGGGUGGAAUGAUGAUAUAUGACCGGGAAACAUUCACCGUGAACAAACAACACUUGGUGGCAGUUCUUCUGUCUAGAGGUGAAAAACUCAGACCAGUUCUAUUGUAAAUAUAAGUUCAUGCCAUGAAGACAGCAGCAAAAUGUGGUUGUGACUGGACGUGAAAGACAAUAAGUGACAGAUAAGUUUUUUUUUAAAUGAAACAAAUUGCUUGAUUUUCUUUGAUGGCUAUUUAUUUAUGAAGCCUCUAAUAGACAUGUAAUAAAUAUGCUGUAACAAUAUCUUACAAUAUUAGUUGUUAAAUAAAUGUUUGGGACUCCUAUUGAUUCUAUCCAAAAUAAUAAUGAUCAGAUAUACAUUUAAUAUACACUUAAACACGAUAUGCUUAAUUUAUAAAGUGGUGUAAUUCUUUCUUUUUUGUUUUUGUUUACCAUUUUAUUUGUUAUUUUGUAUUCAUCUAAAUUUUUGCUGCGAAACUUUGGAGGACCUUUAUUAGACGCCGCACCCUUUUUUUCGAAAAUUGCGGAAAUGGGUUCAAUAUUCUGCCACCCUUAUCAACAAGAAAUGGGUCAAAUUAAGACCCCUGUCCAGUGUGUGGAUAACCCUAAAGGAUUGGGUGGAAUGAUGAUAUAUGACCGGGAAACAUUCACCGUGAACAAACAACACUUGGUGGCAGUUCUUCUGUCUAGAGGUGAAAAACUCAGACCAGUUCUAUUGUAAUGGCACGUGAAGACGAUAAAGAUAAAUGCCUCCCAAGACCUUAACAUCUCACCCUUUACAUUUCAAAUAAAGGCCUUUUACCAAC